rnacentral:ncRNA from 1 species
ACCCCUCCUGUUUAUCAAAAACAUCAUCUCCAGCAUUACUAGUAUUAGAGGCAGUGCCUGCUCAGUGAUACAUGUUUAACAGCUGUGGUAUCCUGACCUUGCAAAGGUAGCAUAACCACUUGUUCCCUAAAUAGGGACUUGUAUGAAUGGCCACAUGAGGGU